rnacentral:rRNA from 1 species
GUUCAUCCCUUGACGGUAUCUAACCAGAAAGCCACGGCUAACUACGUGCCAGCAGCCGCGGUAAUACGUAGGUGGCAAGCGUUGUCCGGAUUUAUUGGGCGUAAAGCGAGCGCAGGCGGUUUCUUAAGUCUGAUGUGAAAGCCCCCGGCUCAACCGGGGAGGGUCAUUGGAAACUGGGAGACUUGAGUGCAGAAGAGGAGAGUGGAAUUCCAUGUGUAGCGGUGAAAUGCGUAGAUAUAUGGAGGAACACCAGUGGCGAAGGCGGCUCUCUGGUCUGUAACUGACGCUGAGGCUCGAAAGCGUGGGGAGCGAACAGGAUUAGAUACCCUGGUAGUCCACGCCGUAAACGAUGAGUGCUAAGUGUUGGAGGGUUUCCGCCCUUCAGUGCUGCAGC